rnacentral:tRNA from 1 species
UCCCAGGUAGCUCAGAGGUUAAAGCAUCUGCCUGCAAUGUGGGAGAGCUGGGUUUGAUCCCUGGGUUGGGAA